CUUUUUUCUAAUCCUGUAUCGCGGAGGACAUUAUAGAGUUUUCUAAACCUCCCAACCCAUGUGAACUUACCUUUUGUUGCCUCGGCAGAAGUUAUAGGUCUUCUUAUAGCUGCUGCCGGUGGACCAUUAAACUCUUGUUAUUUUAUGUAAUCUGAGCGUCUUAUUUUAAUAAGUCAAAACUUUCAACAACGGAUCUCUUGGUUCUGGCAUCAAUGAAGAACGCAGCGAAAUGCGAUAAGUAAUGUGAAUUGCAAAAUUCAGUGAAUCAUCGAAUCUUUGAACGCACAUUGCGCCCAUUAGUAUUCUAGUGGGCAUGCCUGUUCGAGCGUCAUUUCAACCCUUAAGCCUAGCUUAGUGUUGGGAAUCUACUUCUUUAUAGUUGUAGUUCCUGAAAUACAACGGCGGAUUUGUAGUAUCCUCUGAGCGUAGUAAUUUUUUUCUCGCUUUUGUUAGGUGCUAUAACUCCCAGCCGCUAAACCCCCAAUUUUUUGUGGUUGACCUCGGAUCAGGUAGGAAUACCCGCUGAACUUAAGCAUAUCAAUAAGGCGGGAGGAA
rnacentral:rRNA from 1 species